CCAAUAGCGUAUAUUAAAGUUGUUGCAGUUAAAAAGCUCGUAGUUGAAUUUCGGGAUUGACGUGAUGGUCAUGCCUUAAGGGGUAUGAACUGUUACUGUUGAUUUCUCACCUUCUGGAGAAACUUGAUGUCCUUUAUUGGGUGUCUUGCGGAUCCAGGACCUUUACCUUGAAAAAAUUAGAGUGUUUAAAGCAGGCAUUUUUGCUCGAAUACAUUAGCAUGGAAUAAUAGAAUAGGACGGCAUGGUUCUAUUUUGUUGGUUUCUAGGAUCACCGUAAUGAUUAAUAGGGAUAGUUGGGGGCAUUAGUAUUCAAGUGUCAGAGGUGAAAUUCUUGGAUUUAUUGAAGACUAACUACUGCGAAAGCAUUUGCCAAGGAUGUUUUCAUUAAUCAAGAACGAAAGUUAGGGGAUCGAAGACGAUCAGAUACCGUCGUAGUCUUAACCAUAAACUAUGCCGACUAGGAAUCAGACGAUGUUAAUUUUUUAAUGACUCGUUUGGCACCUUACG
rnacentral:misc_RNA from 1 species